UUCUGAAGCAAUCUACAACAAUUUUGUCCUCAGGGUGAUGGCAGCCAGGAGUCCCAAUGUAAGGCUUCGAAAAGCACUCGACAGAAAUGCUUCGAGAACACCUACAAAAUGCCCACUUUCAGCUCCUCCGAAAUCUUCCAAGCCGAGACUAUCAAGGAUGGCUGUCAUUUCAUCGAUGUCCAAGAAGAUGGA